CGAAAGCCUGACGGAGCCACGCCGCGUGAGGGAUGAAGGCCUCUGGGUUGUAAACCUCUUUUCUCAAGGAAGAAGAACUGACGGUACUUGAGGAAUAAGCCACGGCUAAUUCCGUGCCAGCAGCCGCGGUAAUACGGGAGUGGCAAGCGUUAUCCGGAAUUAUUGGGCGUAAAGCGUCCGCAGGCGGCCUCGUAAGUCUGUCGUUAAAGCGUGGAGCUUAACUCCAUUUCAGCGAUGGAAACUGUGAGGCUUGAGUGUGGUAGGGGCAGAGGGAAUUCCCGGUGUAGCGGUGAAAUGCGUAGAUAUCGGGAAGAACACCAGUGGCGAAGGCGCUCUGCUGGGCCAUAACUGACGCUCAUGGACGAAAGCCAGGGGAGCG
rnacentral:rRNA from 1 species